UAUGGCAUCUAUACAGGUUUCACUGAGGAGCGUUACAAAAGGCAAACACAAACACUUGUAGCAGAGUUAGAUGCAUGUAUCACAAGCAGCUGGCCAAAAGGCUGCAGCAGUUCACCUCAAUUCAACUCAAAAGGCAGCAGCAAAAGCAAGACUACAGUGCAGACAUACCACGUGUCUCUCAGACCCCAAGUGCAACUUUAUUUAGACAGACAAAAAAAUAUAAAUAGGAGCUGCUUCAUUGAUGAGUGGCUGUUCAUCCCCAUUCACUGACAGGAUCCUCUUUUCUGGCGGCUGCUCCUCUGGCUGGCGGGCAAUCAGCAGGCGACAGAUGAAAGCAAACUGACCUGUGAUAUCCUCUGCUUCCUGGUUUAUGCUGGGUUUAGAAGCAGUGUAAGUUGGAACACUAAGCCUCCUUACACAGCUGCCUUAUUGUUUCAGGGAAGAAACCACCUCUGUCCUUACACACAU